AUUAAAGCUCAACUUUAUAUAUUUUUUCAAAACUGAUAAACUGGAGUAUAAAUAGAGGAUAAUGGAAUUUCUAUUGGAGUGAUAAAAUACGUUGAUAAUAGAAGGAAGAUCUAUGGCGAAGGCAAUUAUCUGGGUAUAUACUGACACUGAGAAACGAAAGCUUGGGUAGCGAACGGGAUUAGAUACCCCGGUAGUCCAUGCUGUAAACGAUGAGUGCUAAUAUUUAGAAUUUUUAGAUAUAACAGCUAACGCGUUAAGCACUCCGCCUGAAAAGUAUAAUCGCAAGAUUGAAAUUCAAAGGAAUUGACGGGAGUCUACACAAGCGGUGGAGCAUGUGGUUUAAUUCGAUAAUACGCGCAGAACCUUACCAACUCUUGCUAAUUUUUAUAUAAAAUAUUAUAUAAAAAACAGGCGUUGCAUGGCUGUCGUCAGCUCGUGUUGUGAAAUGUUUGGUUAAAUCCUUUAACGAGCGCAACCCUUAUUGUUAGUUGCUAAUUUACUAAAAAAAAUAAAAGUACUCUAACAAAAAAAUUAAUGAUAGGUUAAUGGAAGGUGGGGAUGACGUCAAGUCUUCAUGGCCCUUAUGAGUUGGGCUACACACGUGCUACAAUGAUAAUCACAAUGAGAGGCAAUAAUGAUAAAAGUUGGAGCAAAUCUUUAAAAAUUAUCUUAGUUCGGAUUAAGGGCUGAAACUCGCCCUUAUGAAGUUGGAAUCGCUAGUAAUCGCAGAACAGCAUGCUGCGGUGAAUAUGUUACUGGACUUUGUACACACCGCCCGUCACAUCAGGGAAGUUGAUUAUUUUUAAAAUAAUUCUUAAUUAUUUAAUAUAAUUAUCUAAUUAUUUAAUUAUAUUAAUUUAUAAUUUAUAUUAAAUAACUUAAAAUUCCUAAAAAGUGAUUAGUAACUUUGAUGAAGUCGUAACAAGGUAGUCGUAGGGGAACCUGUGUCUG
rnacentral:rRNA from 1 species